GCUUGUCUCAAAGAUUAAGCCAUGCAUGUCUAAGUGUAAAUACGUCUACACUGUGAAACUGCGAAUGGCUCAUUAAAUCAGUUAUCGUUUAUUUGAUGAUCUCUUGUUACAUGGAUAACCGUAGUAAUUCUAGAGCUAAUACAUGCACAAAAUCCCGACUUACGAAGGGAUGUAUUUAUUAGAUACAAACCAACAUCGUGGUGAUUCAUAAUAACUUUGCGAAUCGUAUGCCUCACGGCGACGAUGAAUCAUUCAAAUUUCUGCCCUAUCAGCUUUCGACGGUAGUGUAGUGGACUACCGUGGCGUUAACGGGUAACGGAGAAUUAGGGUUCGAUUCCGGAGAGGGAGCCUGAGAAACGGCUACCACAUCCAAGGAAGGCAGCAGG
rnacentral:rRNA from 1 species